AAAUAAGAAUUAAUAAUAAUUAAAUUUAAUUUCGACUUAAAAAUAGGAAACUUUUCCCUUAUUUU
rnacentral:tRNA from 1 species